rnacentral:rRNA from 1 species
UGCCANCAGCCGCGGUAAUACAGAGGGNGCNAGCGUUAAUCGGAUUUACUGGGCGUAAAGCGUGCGUAGGCGGCUUAUUAAGUCGGAUGUGAAAUCCCCGAGCUUAACUUGGGAAUUGCAUUCGAUACUGGUGAGCUAGAGUAUGGGAGAGGAUGGUAGAAUUCCAGGUGUAGCGGUGAANUGCGUAGAGAUCUGGAGGAUACYGAUGGCGAACGCAGCCAUCUGGCCUAUACUGACGCUGAGGUACGAAGCAUGGGGAGCAACAGGAUAGAUACCUGUUAGUCAUGCCGUAACGAUGUCUACUAGCGUGGGGCUUGAGCUAGUGGCGCAGCUACGCGAUAGUAGACGCUGNGGCAGUACCGUCGCAG